CAGCCGCCGCGGUAAUACCAGCCCCGCGAGUGGUCGGGACGGUUAUUGGGCCUAAAGCGCCCGUAGCCGGCCCGGCAAGUCCCUCCUUAAAGCCUCGGGCCCAACCCGAGGACGGGGGGGAUACUGCCGGGCUAGGGGGCGGGAGAGGCCGGCGGUACUCCCGGGGUAGGGGCGAAAUCCGUUAAUCCCGGGAGGACCACCAGUGGCGAAGGCGGCCGGCUGGAACGCGCCCGACGGUGAGGGGCGAAAGCCGGGGGAGCGAACCGGAUUAGAUACCCGGGUAGUCCCGGCGGUAAACGAUGCGGGCUAGCUGUUGGGCGGGCUGAGAGCCCGCCCAGUGGCGCAGGGAAGCCGUUAAGUCCGCCGCCUGGGGAGUACGGCCGCAAGGCUGAAACUUAAAGGAAUUGGCGGG
rnacentral:rRNA from 1 species